UAAAAUAAAAUACAGAACUGGAAAAAAUUUUGCAACUACCCCAAAAAAGCGAAAGCGAUCUUAGAGUGAAGAAGUGGGCAGUGACCGCCGACAAUGGUGGCCACGCCACCCCCUCCGUCUUUCUCGCUUCCUUCAAACAAAUCCCUCUCACUCAAAUUCAAAGCCUCUCACUCUCUCUUCCACCUUCGCCCCUCUUCUAACAAACCCUCUUUCUCCAAUCUCAGGUGUGAGAUCAAAGGCUUCGAAAGCUUAAGCCACCGUCGCUGGACAAUUGAGCGCGUCUCCGACAUGACCCAAGACACCGCCCCCUCUUCUCCCUUGGUCUCUGUCUCCGCCGUCGCUGCUGCCACCACCAAUUUCCCCACCAAAAAUGCCAAAAAAGUCGUCCUCUUCUUCUGCCCCGAGACCAAGGCCCUCGCCGAGAAAAUCGCCGCCGAUUCCGACGCCAUCGAGCUUCGCAACAUCUCUUGGGGCAAGUUUGCUGAUGGCUUCCCCAACAUUUUCAUUCCCAAUGCUCAAGGAAUACGUGGACAGCAUGUGGCUUUUCUGGCCUCAUUCAGUUCUCCAGCAGUGAUUUUUGAGCAGAUUCCUGUUAUUUAUGCGUUGCCAAAACUGUUCAUUGCUUCGUUUACCCUUGUCCUUCCAUUUUUCCCAACGGGCACUUCGGAGCGUAUGGAGGAUGAAGGAGAUAUUGCCACAGCUUUUACUUUAGCCAGACUUUUGUCAAACAUCCCUAUAUCUAGGGGAGGACCUACCAGUCUGGUGACAUUUGACAUUCAUGCCUUGCAGGAGAGAUUCUACUUUGGUGAUAACAUUUUACCAUGCUUUGAGAGUGGCAUACCAUUGCUUAAAAGAAGGCUCCAGGAUCUUCCUGAUUCUGAUAACAUAUCAAUUGCUUUUCCUGAUGAUGGUGCUUGGAAACGAUUUAAUAAGCAACUACAGCAUUUUCCAACGAUCGUUUGUGCAAAAGUUCGGGAAGGAGAUCAGCGGAUAGUUCGUAUUAAGGAAGGAGACCCAAGGGGUCGACAUAUUGUGAUUGUUGAUGAUUUGGUUCAAUCAGGUGGAACUCUGAGAGAAUGCCAGGUAUAGACAUCUGUAUGUGUGGAUUCUUACAUGGAACAAAAGAAAGUCUUGGCGGCUCAUGGAGCAACUAAGAUUAGUGCUUACGUAACUCAUGGCAUUUUUCCAAAUAAAUCAUGGGAACGCUUUGGACAUGAUAAUGGGGGGAAACCAGAGACUGCAUUUACUUACUUCUGGAUCACAGAUUCAUGCCCCUUAACAGUAAAGGAGGUGGUGAACAAACCACCAUUUGAGAUUCUCAGCCUUGCUAACUCCAUAUCUGCCAGUCUCCAAAUAUGACGGGAACAUGAUGUCAUUUUCAUAGCAUGCUUAAAAUAAAAUGGACAAAAGAAGAGACCCGGUUAGUAGAGCUCUUAGACUUCAGUAUGCGGCUUAUAGUGACGAAUGAGAUGCAUGCAUGCAAGGGAGUAAAAGACUGCACAAACUGGUUUAUCUUUAAUAAUGUCUCUCCCCUUCUAGCUUUAUGAUCAAAUUUUGCCAUGGUUAUUACUGCGACAUCUACCGAUGUUGUUUUCAUCUAGAAAUUGCUGUUUAGUGAUGUUCCUUAAUAUGUGAAAGUUUGCGGGACUUGCUGUGUCUUUAAAUUAAAUAAAUGAUGAUUUCAAGUGUCCA